CGCUAGUUUCGGUGGAGCCGUCCUUGAAAUACCACCCUGGUUUGUUUGAGGUUCUAACCUUGGCCCGUGAUCCGGGUCGGGGACAGUGCAUGGUAGGCAGUUUGACUGGGGCGGUCUCCUCCCAAAGCGUAACGGAGGAGUACGAAGGUACGCUAGGUACGGUCGGAAAUCGUGCUGAUAGUGCAAUGGCAUAAGCGUGCUUAACUGCGAGACCGACAAGUCGAGCAGGUGCGAAAGCAGGUCAUAGUGAUCCGGUGGUUCUGUAUGGAAGGGCCAUCGCUCAACGGAUAAAAGGUACUCUGGGGAUAACAGGCUGAUACCGCCCAAGAGUUCAUAUCGACGGCGGUGUUUGGCACCUCGAUGUCGGCUCAUCUCAUCCUGGGGCUGUAGCCGGUCCCAAGGGUAUGGCUGUUCGCCAUUUAAAGAGGUACGUGAGCUGGGUUUAAAACGUCGUGAGACAGUUUGGUCCCUAUCUGCCGUGGGCGUUGGAUAUUUGAAGGGGGCUGCUCCUAGUACGAGAGGACCGGAGUGGACGAACCUCUGGUGUACCGGUUGUCACGCCAGUGGCAUCGCCGGGUAGCUAUGUUCGGAAGAGAUAACCGCUGAAAGCAUCUAAGCGGGAAACUCGCCUUAAGAUGAGAUAUCCCUGGGGACUAGAUCCCCUUGAAGGGUCGUUCGAGACCAGGACGUUGAUAGGUCGGGUGUGUAAGCGCAGUAAUGCGUUCAGCUAACCGAUACUAAUUGCCCGUAAGGCUUGAUCCUAUAACA
rnacentral:rRNA from 1 species